UAGAAAUCAAUUUCAAGGGCUAAC
rnacentral:piRNA from 1 species